AAGCCUGGCCCUGGCCGUGGGUGUGUCCUUGCCCCUGUGAGCACUGGGUGGGAUGGCAGUGCUGGGCUCAGGUGCAGGGCAGGCGUUCCCUCCACCCUGUCAGCACCCAAGGUCACCUGUGUCCUCCCUUUCUUCAUUUAUUUAUUUUUUAGUCACUUGAGGCUGAUGUACCUCCAUGUGGUCUGGAUAAAUACAAGUUUUCAGACCUCUGCCUCAGCAAAGUUCCUGUGCAGAAACCUGGGCCUCUGUGAUUGAAUGCUGGAAGAUAGAAUCUGCAUUUAAAAAUCAGUAAAUUAAUGCUUGCAAAGAUGCUGUAUAAAUCUGUAGCUAAUAAGUACAGUAGAAAGCUAUUAGUUUAAGCAUCUAGCCUCCCUUAUUGCUCUGCCGCUCUUAUGAUAAUAAUGAUGCGUAGAAUGGCAAAAGAAAUUGAGCCAUUUUGCCCACUGAAAUGUACUGAAGGAGCUGAUACUUCUGUAGGAAUGGAAAGAAAGAAGUGAUGGAAAUGAAGACAGAGAAACAAAGGAGAUACUGAAGGAGAACUCAUAUUUGGAGAGUUAAUUCACAGGAAAGACAAAACUAUAUGCAUGUAAGGUCCCAAAGGACAGUGUUCAUCUCUGUAACCGAAAACUGGGAUUCUUUCUGACCAUGGCUAUGCUUGUGUGAAAUUUCAGAAAUGACAGAAAAUCUCCUCUGGACCAUCAGUUGCAUGCUUGAAUUCUCAAUGGACUUGUUAGUCACAGAAUAAGGAAAAUAAGGGAGAAGCCAGGUGUAUAAAAAAGGAUCAGAUUUAUGAAUGGCUAUAAUCUUUCUUGCUCACAGGUGAUACGUGGAGCUGUGCUGAAGGUCAAUAGUCUGAAAAUCUGAGUGAAAACUUUUGCAGUUAGAAGAACAGUUUUGCUCACAUACAUGUUUACAAAUUAAUUUUCAAGUCACAAUAGAUAAUCUCACUGUGAAAUGUAUCAAUUCUGAAUUAAUAUUAACUGUGUUUAGUGUCUGAGAAAAAAAAAAGUCAGUGAGCAUAACUUCUGUAAAAUCUAGGUAUUGUUUGACAGGUGAAAGUGUAAAAGUACUUUUAAAUAUGUUAACUGCAGCACCAGUUCCUGAUUCUAUAAAAUAUGACAUUCAUGAUUAAAAAUAAAAAUAACUACAUACGAUUUUAAAUUUUAUGCUGAAAGUUAUGAAAAAAAUUUUUAUUUAAAAGGCUGUCAACAAUACAGAUACCUGGCCUGAUAUUCAAAUAAUUAUUUUUAUACUCCCAGUGUGCCUUGUCUUAAAUGAAUCUGGUGGUCUUCAGUGCCUGAACAUGGCUGAGCAGGCUGAAGAGGUCCUCCAUGCCUUUGCCAUAGCUGUCACAACAGAAGUUACCACUAAUUCUGUCCAUUGCAUAAUUUUUCCUUUUGCAUAUUCCUCCCUAACUUACAUUAGUCAAAAUCAGCUGUGUUUGAAAAGCCCUACUCCUGAUCAUUUCAGCAGGAGGGAGUUUAGAGGGCAGCUGCAUGUGCAGUUCUGAUGGCAAAUCUGAGGGAGUGAUAAUCUCUCCUUAUCUUGGAUGCACUGUAAAAUUGCUGGGCUAAAUAGUAUUGCCAAGUCUGAGCACCUGCAAAAAUCAGGAUUUUGACUGAAAAUUUGUGACAUUUUAAAAAGUAAUACAUUUGAAAUUCUUUUUUUAUUUGAUGUAUGUUUUUUUGAAGAGGCUGAAUACAAAUUUCUAAACUUUCCUUAAAAAUUCUGAGUGCUCAUAAUUAGUUAUCUUUUAAAAUGAAAUUAGGUGCAAUAGUUAAUUAUUUGAUUCCAGCUGCUGUGAUUCAAGCAAAAACAUCACUGAAGUUUGAUAGCUGAUAUUGCAUGAGCCAAGUGUGCAGCAAAGAAGGACAAAUGAUUCAACAUGAAAUUUGGAUGUUUCUCUGUCCUGUUAAAAGAUCUAGAAUGAUCUUAUGAGGUCUUAAAAUUGCCACUGCUUUGGGAAGAAGGUCUUUGCACAGGAGUCAUCAUAGAAUGAGGACUUCUGAGGACGCCUUUGCAAGCCAGAUGGUACCAAGGACAGAAAGAGACCAGUGAGGGAAACGUUGGAGUCUGUGGUGUGAAGACAGUUUAGCAGAUUAUAGUACAGCCUCAAGCUGCUAAAGUGGUGAAUCCAAGGUGAUCUAGGUUAGACUGUGGUACAGAAGCAACACACUUUUAGUUACCCAGAGUCCUUCUGGCCUUUGGUUUCCUCAAUCUCUGUGUUCACCCAGCAGAAUUUUUGUGUACAUCCUUAUCAGAAUAAAAAACCCCCAAAAACUAUUAGAGAAGAUGUCCUGGAAUACU